AGGGCAUCAAGUUGUCAGCAGAGGUCAAACCAUUUGUUCCAAAACAUGCGGCGGUAACUGUGGCAUGGUCAGAACCCUCAGAAGCAUGUGUCUUUCCUAGGUAUUUAACUACAUGCUACCCAUUUGUUCAGGAACCAUCUUUGGAUAAUGUUCUGGGAGAUCCUGCCUUCCGUGAAUACUCCAGCUGCUCUUACUCACCCGAUGUUUCAAAUGUAUAUCCAGUAGCUGGCUCACAAUAUCAUUCUAACAACUCAACACAGUAUAAUGGUUCAGGAAUAGUCAGUGAAUCUGCUGAGCAAACGUAUCCAAUCAGACAAGAAAGUAAGAAUCUUUCAAAGCAGAGGAAAUCAAAAGAGGGUGAGAAAAAAUUAGACAAGAAAAGGCAAGACGGAGAUGACUCUUCUGUCAGAAUUGCAAACAGGACUUCGUUCCAGACCUCCACAUGCAGCAGAGAUUCUGUGAAGCCAGGUACA